UGGCAGGAUUCCAAAUUCCAGUUUAAAAUUCAUAGGCUUUAAUCAUAGAAUCAUAGAAUGAUUUGGGUUGGAAGGGACCUUUAGUAUCACCUAGUUCCAACACACUUGCUAUAGGCAGGGACACCUCUGUCUGGACCAGCACUUCACCACCCUCACAGUAAAUAAUUUCUUCCUAAUAUCUAGUCUAAAUCCACACCCUUCCAGCUUAAAACUAUUUCCACUUUUCCUGAUGCUACUGGCCCUUCUAAAAAGUCCCUCCCCAGCUUUCCUGUAGGCCCCUUUCAAGUACUGGAAGGCUGCUACAAAAUCUUCUUCAGAGCCUUCUCUUCUCCAGGCUAUGGAGCGUAGAGGAGGUGCUCCAGCCCUCUGAUCAUCUUCGUGGCCCUCCUCUGAACCUGCUCAAAGAACUCCAUGUCCUUCUUGUGCUGGGAGCUCCAGAACCAGAUGCAGUACUCUAGGUGAGGUCUUUCCACAGAGUAGAGCGUCAGAAUCACCUCCUUUGACUUCCAGGUCAUACUUUUCUUGAUGCAACCCAGGAUACAGUUGGCCUUCUGGGCUGGAAGUGCACAUUGCCAGCUCUUGUUGAAUCUUUCAUCAAUCACACAGUCAAAUCCUUCUUUUCAGGGCUGCUCUCAAGCCAUUUUCCACCCAACCUGUAUCUGUGCUUGAGAGUGCCUUGACCCAGGUGUAGGACUUCACCUCUUUGAACUUCAUGAGGUUGGCAUGGGCCCACCUCUCAAGCCUGUCCAGGUCCCUCUGAAUGGCAUUCCUUCCCUCUAGCGUGUUAACUAUACAACUCAGCUUGAUGUCACCUGCAAACUUGCUGAGGGUGCAAUCCAACUGUCCAUGUUGCCUACAAAGAUAUUAUAUAAUACCAAUCCCAACACCAAUCCCUGAGGAACGCCACUCAUCUCAUCAUCAAUCUCCGCUUGGAAACUGAGCUAUUGACCACAACUUUCUGAGUGCAACCAUCCAGCCAAUCCCUUAUUCAGUGAGUAGUCCAUCCAUCAAAUUUAUUUUCUUCCAAUUUGAUGACCAGGAUGUUGUGUGGGACAGUGUCAAAUGCUUUGCACAAGUCCAGGUAGAUGACAUCAUUUACUUUUCCUUUAUACAUUGAUGCUGUAACUCCAUCAUAAAAGGCCACCAUGUCUGUCAGGCAUGACUUAUCCUUGGUGAAGUCACGUUGGUUACCACGAGUCACCUUGUCUUUAUUUCCCAUGUGCCUUAGUAGAGCCUUCAGGAGGAUCUGUUUCAUGAUCUUGCCAGGCACAGUGGUGAGACUGACUGGCCUCUAGCUCCCUGGAUCUUCUUUUUUUCCUUCUUGAAAAUGGGGAUUAUGUUUCCCCUUUUCCAGUUGGUGGGAACUUCACUAGACUGCCAUGACCUUUCAAAUAUGAUGAAUAGCAGCUUGGCAUCUUCAGCCACUUCCCUCAUAACUCAUGGAUAGUUCUUGUUGGGUCCUAUGGAUUUGUGCACCUUCAGGUUCUUUAGAUGGUCUCAAAAUAAAUAAAUCAUUAAGAAAAUUAUAAUCAAAUUAAUAAAUCAUCUACAAUAAUGGUCUGAAUUUCAGAAGCAUAACAAAUAUGGUAUGUUUUAGAUUUUAUCGCAAAUUAUAUUUAAUAUAAUUAGCAUGAAUGUAUGGCACAUGAUUCUGUCAUAAAUCAUUUUUGUACAACAGGAAUACAGUAGUGUCAGUAUCUCUUAGCAUAUUUUGGGGCGAAAGAAACACCUGUCUGCAAUUUUGAUCACUCUUGCCCCUUUCAGACUCCACAGUAAUAGUAAAAUUUCUUUUAUCUCCAUAUUGUACACUGGCAGAAUGAAGCUUUUUUUAUUAUACAAUCUUUCUCAGGGUUUUUCAGAAUGACAUUGGUUAUGCUAUAUAUAAUCAAAAAAUAACUCCCCUGUGUGAGACAAGAAGGAUAAAU
ensembl:lncRNA